CCAAAGGAUAUAUUCAUCACCCCAGUUCUACAAUUUAUACUCGCAUUAGCUGUAGCUAAAAAGGGGCGUCCAAGGAUCACGGGGAUUUGUUUCUUAGGAUUAGGCUCAUGUUCCAUAUCAAGGACGAUAAAAUCUACUGGAAAAUAGAAUUUGUCUACCUUGACAAGAACAUCUUCAAUUAUCCCACGUGGUGUUUUUACAGAUCGAUCAGCCAAUUGAAGGGAUAUCGAGGUUGGUUUUAACUCACCUAACCCAAGUUUCUCAUAAACUGAGUAAGGUAAAAGGUUGACACUUGCCCCUAGAUCUAAAAGUGCUCGAUCAAUGAAAUUAUUUCCUAAGACACAGGAGAUGGUGGGAGCACCAGGAUCUUUGAAUUU
rnacentral:lncRNA from 1 species